UUAGAAUAGUUUGUUAGUGUCAUUAUAGACUUUUGAAGUCAAUGAAGACAUUUUAAUCAAUUAAUAAACAGCUGAUAUCAUAAUGAAGAUUGAAUCUAUUUUAUUGUGUUGUUAUUGUCACAACUUCAUACUAGUUUUAUAGUGAUUUAUCAUAAAUAUUUAAUGAAGAAUGUUUUUUGUAACUUUUUGCAGAUGUAUACCAUAACUGUCAAGGUCUGACAUUGACAAACCAAUCAUAUAUUGUGUAUACCAUAACUGUCAAGGUCUGACAUUGACAAACCAAUCAUAUAUUGUGUAUACCAUAACUGUCAAGGUCUGACAUUGACAAACCAAUCAUAUAUUGUGUAUACCAUAACUGUCAAGGUCUGACAUUGACAAACCAAUCAUAUAUUGUGUAUACCAUAACUGUCAAGGUCUGACAUUGACAAACCAAUCAUAUAUUGUGUAUACCAUAACUGUCAAGGUCUGACAUUGACAAACCAAUCAUAUAUUGUGUAUACCAUAACUGUCAAGGUCUGACAUUGACAAACCAAUCAUAUAUUGUGUAUACCAUAACUGUCAAGGUCUGACAUUGACAAACCAAUCAUAUAUUGUGUAUACCAUAACUGUCAAGGUCUGACAUUGACAAACCAAUCAUAUAUUGUGUAUACCAUAACUGUCAAGGUCUGACAUUGACAAACCAAUCAUAUAUUGUGUAUACCAUAACUGUCAAGGUCUGACAUUGACAAACCAAUCAUAUAUUGUGUAUACCAUAACUGUCAAGGUCUGACAUUGACAAACCAAUCAUAUAUUGUGUAUACCAUAACUGUCAAGGUCUGACAUUGACAAACCAAUCAUAUAUUGUGUAUACCAUAACUGUCAAGGUCUGACAUUGACAAACCAAUCAUAUAUUGUGUAUACCAUAACUGUCAAGGUCUGACAUUGACAAACCAAUCAUAUAUUGUGUAUACCAUAACUGUCAAGGUCUGACAUUGACAAACCAAUCAUAUAUUGUGUAUACCAUAACUGUCAAGGUCUGACAUUGACAAACCAAUCAUAUAUUGUGUAUACCAUAACUGUCAAGGUCUGACAUUGACAAACCAAUCAUAUAUUGUGUAUACCAUAACUGUCAAGGUCUGACAUUGACAAACCAAUCAUAUAUUGUGUAUACCAUAACUGUCAAGGUCUGACAUUGACAAACCAAUCAUAUAUUGUGUAUACCAUAACUGUCAAGGUCUGACAUUGACAAACCAAUCAUAUAUUGUGUAUACCAUAACUGUCAAGGUCUGACAUUGACAAACCAAUCAUAUAUUGUGUAUACCAUAACUGUCAAGGUCUGACAUUGACAAACCAAUCAUAUAUUGUGUAUACCAUAACUGUCAAGGUCUGACAUUGACAAACCAAUCAUAUAUUGUGUAUACCAUAACUGUCAAGGUCUGACAUUGACAAACCAAUCAUAUAUUGUGUAUACCAUAACUGUCAAGGUCUGACAUUGACAAACCAAUCAUAUAUUGUGUAUACCAUAACUGUCAAGGUCUGACAUUGACAAACCAAUCAUAUAUUGUGUAUAGGAAUUGUCAGUUAUUUAAUAAUGAUUCACUGACACACAAUUUUAUUGUGUUUCUGCAAAGGUUUAGAGAGCCAGAUCCUGUCUGGACAACUCAAUUUUGACUUUUUAUGACUGAAAAAAUCUAUGGUGAAUUCCAUUUAAGUUCAGGAAACCAUUAUUAUUGAAAAAGACUUGUAUCAUAACUUCAUAAAUAAG